GAUGAACGCUGGCGGCGUGCCUAAUACAUGCCAGUCGAGCGAACAGACGAGGAGCUUGCUCCUCUGACGUUAGCGGCGGACGGGUGAGUAACACGUGGAUAACCUACCUAUAAGACUGGGAUAACUUCGGGAAACCGGAGCUAAUACCGGAUAAUAUAUUGAACCGCAUGGUUCAAUAGUGAAAGACGGUUUUGCUGUCACUUAUAGAUGGAUCCGCGCCGCAUUAGCUAGUUGGUAAGGUAACGGCUUACCAAGGCAACGAUGCGUAGCCGACCUGAGAGGGUGGUCGGCCACAAUGGAACUGAGACACGGUCCAGACUCCUACGGGAGGCAGCAGUAGGGAAUCUUCCGCAAUGGGCGAAAGCCUGACGGAGCAACGCCGCGUGAGUGAUGAAGGUCUUCGGAUCGUAAAACUCUGUUAUUAGGGAAGAACAAAUGUGUAAGUAACUAUGCACGUCUUGACGGUACCUAAUCAGAAAGCCACGGCUAACUACGUG
rnacentral:rRNA from 1 species